UUCCCGACGAGAACGAUUGUCGAGGAGCUCGACGACCAGAUGCACAAAGAGGUCCUCCGUGCGAUCGAUGGGACGAUCGAUACUCUUCAGCGAGCUGACUGUGGUUUUUACGCCGUGAAAGAGUCGCCCCAGUUCCACUGCGGAUUCGCUCUUCAUCUUAGGAAGCGCCAGGAAGUUGUUGAGGUCUGGCUGCCUGGUUCCUGCCAAUGAUGGACUGGAAGAGGUCUCGGAACGAAGGCCAAUCUUCGUACUUCCCGGUGAAGGUCGGCGGUUGAAUCUUAGGCAAUGCGGUCCGAGGAGCGGCGGCCGGUGUCGCUGCCGAACUUGGUCUGGAUGUAUGCUCUUGUCGUUGGAGAGCGCUCUUCAGAUCGAGCAUGAGGCCCUUGUUCUGCAGCUUCUCGAGGUUUUGAAGCCGGGCCUCCACCGCGCCGAGGGUGAUAUUGGCCUCGCUGAGCUUCCGAAGGUUCUCGUACGCGCGCGAGAUUUUGCCGUAUAGCACUGUGGCUGUGGCAAUGAUUGCCUUAGUGUCUGUCAUGUCUAAAACUGUUUCUCUUUUCUAGGAGCACUGGUCACCGACACUGAUUCACUAUCGCUUCCGUGGCACCGGAUUCAAGGGAGGUUCCUGAGGUAUCCGGCUCGAAGGACCAAAUAAUGUGCGCGACGGAAAGCAGGAUAGGAAGGUCGGAAGCGAAAGGACAGCGAAACACUGCACUCGACAAACGCGUAACGUGAACAAAAAAUAUAUUUACUCUAAGAACAACACAAAUUACAAUUGUUUAACCGCACAGAAUUUACCAAAAGAUAGCCGAGUCGAACGUAUUAGAAAUAAAUGCAAUAAACGAGAGAAAAG